UUCUGUAGAUUUUUUGACUCGGGGCAGCGUGCCGAUGUGUUCGCAUACACUUGAGCGCCCUUACGCUCUUUCACCUCGCACCCAUAACGGGGUAAAUGUAGCGAG